AUUGAACGCUGGCGGCAGGCUUAACACAUGCAAGUCGAGCGGAGAUGAGGUGCUUGCACCUUAUCUUAGCGGCGGACGGGUGAGUAAUGCUUAGGAAUCUGCCUAUUAGUGGGGGACAACAUUCCGAAAGGAAUGCCAAUACCGCAUACGCCCUACGGGGGAAAGCAGGGGAUCUUCGGACCUUGCGCUAAUAGAUGAGCCUAAGUCGGAUUAGCUAGUUGGUGGGGUAAAGGCCUACCAAGGCGACGAUCUGUAGCGGGCCUGAGAGGAUGAUCCGCCACACUGGGACUGAGACACGGCCCAGACUCCUACGGGAGGCAGCAGUGGGGAAUAUUGGACAAUGGGCGGAAGCCUGAUCCAGCCAUGCCGCGUGUGUGAAGAAGGCCUUUUGGUUGUAAAGCACUUUAAGCGAGGAGGAGGCUACCUGGAUUAAUACUCUAGGAUAGUGGACGUUACUCGCAGAAUAAGCACCGGCUAACUCUGUGCCAGCAGCCGCCGUAACAC
rnacentral:rRNA from 1 species